rnacentral:lncRNA from 1 species
GAAACAAUACGCGUGAGUAACAACAUACAACAUCAAUUGCACCCGAACCCGUCAACUCCGAUCCAACCCUCGAAUCAGCGAAAAUCCCCAACCAAAUCGAUCCGAACCAGUUCUCACAACGGCGAAACCCGACCCAGGCCCAUUCCGUUUUCACCUUUUUCACGCGUUUCACGCGAUCCCGUACGAGAAAACCCUCAAAUCUUCUAGAAACAAGGAUAGGUGUCUUCUCCAACGUUCAAAUUCCGUGAAUUUCAGGAUUAUUGGUAUGAUUUCGUAUGUAUGCGGCUGGUUUCCAUUAUUUUGAGGUAAUAUUCCGUUUUCCCCAAUUUUGAUUGGUCCACCCAUUCGAAUUUAUCCGAGGAAAGCGCCAAAAUCCGUACGAGUUGUUGGUGUAAAACGUUGUCUUGAGUUCAAAUUUCAAAAAUAUCUCCAUGGAAAAUUCCAAAUAUACUCCUCUAUUCUCAACGUUUACUGAUCAGUUGAGCUCCAAUGGAGCCAUUCUUGGAUCCUCUAUAAAUAGCUCUCUUGAGAGCAGAGAAAAGAAAAGAGGGAAAUCCUGGGGUUCGAAAAUUGGGUUGGGAAAUUCUGAAGGCUAGGAAUUCUAGGGUGAGGAAAUUCAAGAAAGGAAAUUUUGGUUCAAAAAAGAAAAAAAACAAAAGAAAGAAAGAAUUUUUGAAGAAAAAUCAGGUCUUUAGCAGAGAUCCUGUUCUUGUUUUGAAAGUUCAUUGAUUAAAUUCGAGUUUCGAAUUGACGGUGAAGGAGUGUUCUGGUGGUCGUGAUUCUCCGUAGCUAGUUCGUCGUCUCGGUUUGCUGCUCCAAAAAAGGUAACAUCCCAUUUUAUUUAUCUUUCAAUUACUUCUUCAUCUCCCCAUUCUGUAGUCGUUUAGUGUUUCAUUUUUGAUGUAGUAUGCUGGGAUUAGCUGCUGUAGAGGUCUUGUAAGACCAUAGGACAUGCUUGCUGAAGAUAAUGCCUGUCAUGUGAUUAUGUUUGAUGUAAAACUGUCGGAUUAGUCGUUAAAGCUUUUGGUCUGAGUCUCAUUUGCCAUCUCGAUUUUAUAACCUGCUAUAUGAUUUUAACAUUUGCUAAUCAGUUUCCAAUCUUUUAUUUUGCAUUGGUAUUGCUUGUGAGUUUGAUUCAUUGAUUUCCAUCGAGAUUCCUAUUUUGAUUUUUAGCUUCAACGGCUAGCCGAAUGUUGUCUUUGUUUGAAUCGUUAGUUCCUGUUUAUUUAGUAAUAUCAUUGGCAGGACCACUUUGUGUGUUCCUCUGACUUUCAAAUGUCAAAGAGAAUAACCAAACAUGUGUCCAAUAAUGAAAGGUCGUCAGAAAAUCCUAGGAUCCAUCGACGACCAUUUCGUUUGAGUCCAUCGAGAUAAGGAGGAGGAUAAAGGAUAUUGUAUCCCGUUGGCUCCCUUUUCUAGCCUAUUAGUUGUGUUCCUUUUUAGUGGAAUUUUGAAUUCUGCUUUUCUGCCGUGGGUUUAUUCCAAGCCAGUAUUCUUGUUGGUUUAAAAUCCCUGGAGAAUGUAAUGGUUUCGUUGAAGAAUACUGUACAUAAGAAUGGAUUUGGUCACGUGGAUGUCCUUGAUGUCCAAAGCCAUUGCUGUGUUUAUAUUUUCUCUCAAGGAGGGUCUAAAACCCUUGAGGUUUUGUAAGGUCAUAUUUGGAGGAUAACCGUUUUCAACUUUUAGGCUUGUUGUUCUGAAUAUGGGAAAUUUCGGAGGCUGCUUUGCACUCUCGCGACUUUCAGAAGCCUGAAAUUUUCUUCGGAGUAAAAAGGGGAAUUUCGGGGUUUUAUUUUUAUUCUUGAGUUCUCUUCUGUCUGUUUUAUGCAUUCUUUUCAUUUAUUUAACGCAACUCGCAAGGUCUUUUUAAUUCGGCGAUAUUGAAGAGACCUGAAAGUUUGCCAUAGAUCCAUAAUAAUGAUCCCAGGAAUCUCUAAUAAGCUUUGGCUUAUAUCCUUGCACUACCGGAUGAGGAGAGGAGGAUCUGUUCGAGUUUAUUAGCCUAAUUGAAUGACUUUAGAUUAUCACAGGGAUUGUUCCUCGUCACUUGGAUAGGUUUAAAGGUUCUGUUCAGUGGCUAUGGUGUUUUUUAGAUUGCGCUACCUCCUCCCUUUUCUCUAUUUGUUUUCCUUUGGAGGGUCUUGUUGUUCUUGCUUCCAUGUUCAUUCCAGCUUUCCUUGUUUUUCUUUUUUGGUUGGGGUCUUCUACAACAUGAAAGGAAGUAGGCUUUUGGCUGAGGUAAAGUUUCUUCAUAGCUUAAUGGACCCGUGCGAACGUAAAGCUCGAUGCGACUACUAGAAUUAUCGCUUGCGUUUGAGUUAAUCUGAAAAAUUAUGUAUUACUUGAUUGAACAAUUAUGAUGGAUUUAGUAUGCUAUAACUUAGAGUUGAGUAGUGCAUGCUUUACGUACAACUCCGCACUUUAAGAUUAACCUAGAUGGUUGUACUUUAAGAUUAACCUUUAUUCCAUCUGUCUAAUUGUAACUUCGACGAUCGUUGAUGAUAUCUCUAAAAGAUAGACAGAGCAUUCUUAAAAUUUGAACCCCAAAACCCUUUCUCAUUGUUUUUCCUGAAUAUGAUAAUGAAUGAAUUCUCUCAUGUAUUCUGUUAACCAAUAGGACCACCUUGAACAUGAAUUUAAGGUUUCUGAUUGCUAUUUGCGGCUUAUUAUGAUGUAUGAUUAAUUAUACUAAGUUCAAACGGUCCAACGCAGAGUCUUAAUCUUUUUCUCCUUUAUUUUUGGAUGCAUGUGAAUGUGUUAUGUCUGAGUUAACCAUGAACUCUUGAUUGCAUUUUUCUCAUCAAGUCAACUCCUAGAAGAAGUCCCAACAUCGAUCUCAUGACAUACCGAAAACAACGAGUCGAAAGAGAAGAAAAUGGGGUGAAAGUUCCAUCUUUGAAGCGGCGAAGGAGGCUUGAAAGUCUCACUGUUUUGUUUAUCCAUUGUUGUCAUUAUUUAUUUAUUUAUAAUUUUAUUUAUUUAUUUAGUUACUUAUUUAUUUAUUCAUUCGGGCCUCGAAGCUAAAGUUGUAAAUUUAAUACAGGUGGAG